rnacentral:lncRNA from 10 species
CUCACAUUGCAGACUACCGAGCCACGGUCCCUUCCUCGGCUCCGUUUCUGCUCCCUCCACCCCACGAGGUAGGCAUUGGUGUUUCUGCUUUCCAGCUGGGGAAACAGAGUCCGGAGGUUAAGUGGUUUGCCCCCAGUGCCCCGCCGACAGGGCAAGGCGCGCGGACGGGGCUGUGACUCCCAGGGCGGCAGCCCCCUCGGCGCGGUCUCGCGACCCGACUUCUCUCUGUGGCCCCGGGAAGGGGGUGGGGGGCGGCGGGGCCUCGUCGGCUCCGCCUUCGCUUGGGACCCAGCCAGGCCGCGGGACGCUCCAGUCUUUACAGUGAUGACCUGAUGGCUUUCCUCAAAAGAGCUCGGACCACUCUCCUCCAACUCCCUUCCACAGACCGCUAGUGACGCCCACGCGCAUUUCCCCCUGACCACUGUCUUGACCCCCGGAUGGUCCAGACCGGGAGCCCCAGCCCAGCUUCGGCCGGCCGCUGCGAGCAGAGCUGGACCGCAGCGGGGACUCAGAUCGCCGUAGCCACGCCUACCCACGCGGGAAAGGGCGAGACAUGCAAAUUAGAAAUGGCGCUUCAGCCACGGGGCAAAAACAGAGCUGAGAAUUCACUUGAAAACGUAGCCAACUAUAAACCAUGCCCAAAGGCUUGCUGUUUUCAACAGGCCUAUUGAGAAACGAAGUUGUCAAUUGCCCCUAUCGUUGCUCACCGUGGGUGUAAUAUGGUGAUAUGAGGGUGGUAAUGGCGAAGGCAAAGAUGCUGGAUUCGACAAAUUUUUCCAGAUCUCUGUUUGUGAGUGUCACUUUUGUCAUCCAGGCUGGAGUGCAGUGGCGGGAUGAGAGUUCACUAUGAUCUCGACUUCCUGGACUCAGAUGGUUCUCCCACUUCAGCUUCCGGAUCUAAUAUUUCAAUAAUUUCAAGAACACUGCAUUCAUUCCUCUCCACAUGAGCAAUUGCCAAAA